CCCCCCCCCCCGCAGGGCAGACCCACCCCUUCUCCUCCUCUUCCUCCCCACUCUUCUCCUCCCUUCCCCCUCCCUCUUCGUCCUACCCCUUCCCCCAUCUCCCCCUCCUCUUUUUCCUCCUCUCCCUUCUCUUCUUCCUCCUCCUCCUCUUCCUCUUCUUCUUCCCCCUCCUCCUUUUCCUCCUCCUGGCCCAUCCUGGGCCAAGUGGUCCUGCCGCUGGUGUGCCGCCAGGAGCCUCCUUAGCUGCCUUCCCCGGUGCCCACACUGACCAUCUGUCAACUUCAUUUAGACAUUGCAGCCCUCAGCCACACGCCAGGGUGCCAGACGCCCAAAGGGGUGCUGGGCGUCGACCCAGGUCACAGAGUUGGUGACAUCCCUGACGAGCUGCUUUGUGGUCUAAUCCGGCCUUCAGGAAGCAGGGUAAUAUACAUGGAAUCAGACAGAUGUAAUCUUCUGGGACUGGCUCCCUUCACUCAGCCCGAUGUUUUGGAGGGUCCCUGUGUGGCUGAGCUUGGUGACUUGUGCUUCGGUCUCACUGAGUGACCAUCCCUCUGCUGCUUGUUUGUCCCUCAGAGAAGGAGAGCUGCACUGACUGCCUGACCCCCCCAUUCAGACUUCACCCAGCUUCCCCGUCUCCCAUAUCCUCCUACUGGGCCCUGUGUAUGUCAUAGAGGAAGGUCUCUAAGAGGAGACUUGCUCACAAGGGAAAGGGGUGCGAGCAUGAACGCCUUCUUGGCUGCCCUGCACCAGGCCUGGGCCGACCUCGCAGGCUGGUGAGGAGAUUACCAACACAGGGACGUGACUCAUGUCGGCAAAGUAGGAUUUGAUUGGAAGGAUUUUCCCGGAAAGGAGAAGAGCUGGGGCAGCUCCAGGGGUCCCACAGGAGGAGCUAAUGGACUUCUUCAUUGGGCACCAGGGACAAAUCAGCUCAGCUGGUGUUUGGCCCUGAGUCCCACUGCUCCAGAGUGGGAGUCUUGGGGAAGAGAAGGCCUGGCCUGCCUCAGGUGGGAGAGGGUAACCCGCAGAGUGGUACCCUGCAGAGAGAGGCGGCUCCACCAGAGCGGUCAGGUGCUGGGACCAGGGGAAGGGGCAGACGCUGGGAUGGCAGGUCAAAGUUUGACUCCUCCAGAAAAAUACCAGCUCCCCCAAAUGAGGGUGGGUCUAUCUGCAGGGGUCAUGUAACCCUGAUCAUUCAUGCUUUUCCUGGGCCUGAGAGUGGAUCUGGAAUACACUGUAUUAAAUAAUAAUAUUUAUUACUAUUUGGGUUGGUAUUUUCAGGGCUUUUCUCUAGUUUCUAGAUUUGCCCUCCUUUAGUGUUCCCACAUUUAUUUUAUUUUUGUAUUUAAUGUUAGUAUUUUCAUGUUAUAUUUGUACACACACAUGCAUGAUUGUUUCCAUGCCUUGAGUCCCUUGGUGCUAGUUGCAUUUUUAGGUUAUAUCAACUCUGCUACCCUGAGAAUCACGCUUGGCAUCUUCAGACUUUGUUUUUAAACCAACAAAUGAAGGACUGAUCUGCUCCUCUCAUCCCAGGGUCAGAGCACUGGCCUGGGAGCCAUCACUGGAGCCAGGAAAGCAGCCCUCGAUGCCUUGCUUAGGAUGAAACUUCUGGAAAACAGCCCAAUCUCCCUCAGCCUUGGUUUCCUGUCUGUGAAAUAAGCAUGCUGGUGUUCUACACCUAAUUCCAAAAGCUGAGAUUUUGUGCAAAAUUUCAGUUGUUGAAAACACACUGGGGGAAAAUGUGAUUGGAUGUACAUGCUGUGAUCCUUUAGAAUAACAAGUUGUGUGUAUCACUGUACCCUGAUGGUCUCCAAUAUGUUUUGUUGUGUCUCUGAGUAUUGUAAUUAUGUUAAUAAUGCUAUAAUGAAACUUAUCCAUGAAAUACACACUUGAUCCCCAGUUGAUUGAGUCUAGGGGAAAGAAAGCGCAUCCA
ensembl:lncRNA